GGCCUAUUGUAUAAAAUUUUAGGUYUGACCUGCCCAAUGAUUCAAGGUUUAAUGGCCGCGGUAUUUUGACCGUGCAAAGGUAGCAUAAUCAUUAGGUUUUUAAUUGAAAUCUUGUAUGAAAGGUUUAAUGAAAAAAUAUCUGUCUCUGUUUAAACUUAUUAGAAUUUUAUUUUUUAGUGAAAAAGCUGAAAUUUUAGUGGAAGACGAGAAGACCCUAUAGAGUUUAAAAUUUAUAAUAAAUGGAUGAUAUUAAGAAUUUAGGUUUUAUUUAAUAUAUUUAUUUGAUUGGGGUGAUUAAAAAAUUAGAAAAACUUAUUUUUAAAAAAACAUUGAUUAAUGAGUUUUUGAUCCUUUAUUUAAGAUUAAAAAAAAAAUUACCUUAGGGAUAACAGCGUUAUUUUUUUUAGAGUUCUUAUUGAAAAAAAAGAUUGCGACCUCGAUGUUGGAUUAAAAAGAAAUAUUGGUGAAGAAGCUAAUAAUUUA
rnacentral:rRNA from 1 species